rnacentral:rRNA from 1 species
UUCAGGAGAAGGAACUCGGCAAAUUGACACCGUAACUUCGGAAGAAGGUGUGCCCUGGUAGGUUGUAGCCGUACAGGCGAAGGCCGAAGGGGUUGCAAAAAAUCGGUGGCUGCGACUGUUUAAUAAAAACACAGCACUCUGCAAAGAUGAUGAAUCGACGUAUAGGGUGUGACGCCUGCCCGGUGCCGGAAGGUUAAAUGAUGGGGUGCAAGCUCUUGAUUGAAGCCCCGGUAAACGGCGGCCGUAACAAUAACGGUCCUAAGGUAGCGAAAUUCCUUGUCGGGUAAGUUCCGACCUGCACGAAUGGCGUAACGAUGGCCACACUGUCUCCUCCUGAGACUCAGCGAAGUUGAAGUGUUUGUGAUGAUGCAAUCUACCCGCGGCUAGACGGAAAGACCCCGUGCACCUUUACUGUAGCUUUGCAUUGGACUGUGAUGGGAUCUGUGUAGGAUAGGUGGGAGCCUGUGAAGCGGUGGCGCUAGCCAUCGUGGAGGCAACGUUGAAAUACCACCCUGAUGUCAUUGCGGUUCUAACCUUGGCCCCUAUAGCGGGGUUGGGGACAGUGCAUGGUAGGCAGUUUGACUGGGGCGGUCUCCUCCCAAAGAGUAACGGAGGAGCUCGAAGGUACGCUAGGUACGGUCGGACAUCGUGCUGAUAGUGCAAUGGCACAAGCGUGCUUGACUGCGAGACUGACAAGUCGAGCAGGUGCGAAAGCAGGACAUAGUGAUCCGGUGGUUCUGAAUGGAAGGGCCAUCGCUCAACGGAUAAAAGGUACGCCGGGGAUAACAGGCUGAUUCCUCCCAAGAGUUCAUAUCGACGGGGGAGUUUGGCACCUCGAUGUCGGCUCAUCACAUCCUGGGGCUGUAGCCGGUCCCAAGGGUAUGGCUGUUCGCCAUUUAAAGUGGUACGUGAGCUGGGUUUAAAACGUCGUGAGACAGUUUGGUCCCUAUCUGCCGUGGGCGUUGGACGUUUGAGGGGGGCUGCUCCUAGUACGAGAGGACCGGAGUGGACGAACCUCUGGUGUACCGGUUAUCACGCCAGUGGUAUUGCCGGGUAGCUAAGUUCGGGAGAGAUAAGCGCUGAAAGCAUCUAAGUGCGAAACUUGCCCCAAGAUGAGACGUCCCUGGAGGUUAACUCCACUAAAGGGUCGCGGAAGACCACCGCGUUGAUAGGUCGGGUGUGGAAGCGCAGUAAUGCGUUAAGCUAACCGAUACUAAUUGCCCGUGCGGCUUGAUCCU